CCUGCCAGUAAUCAUAUGCUUGUCUUAAAGAUUAAGCCAUGCAUGUUUAAGUAUAAGCAAAAAAAAGAGCGAAACUGCGGACAGCUCAUUAAAUCAGUCGUAGUUUAUUUGAUCAGAUUUUACGGAUAACUGCAGUAAUUCUGGAGCUAAUACGUGACUUCAACGACCUCUUCGGAGGCGGCGGCUAUCCAGUCCCACCAAUCGGUUAGGUGACUCAGGAUAGAAUCGCGGAUCGUACGGCCUUGAGCUGACGACGAAUCAUUUAAAUUUCUGACCUAUCAAAUUGUUGGUAGUAAAGUGGGCUACCAUGUUCACCACGGGUGACGGGGAAUUAGGGUUCGAUUCCGGAGAAGGAGCCUGAGAGACGGCUACUACUUCCAAGGAAGGCAGCAGGCGCGCAAAUUACCCAAGGCAAUUGGAAUGAGUACAAUUUAAAUCCCUUAACAAGGAACAACUGGAGGACAAGUCUGGUGCCAGCACCCGCGGUAAUUCCAGCUCCAGUAGCGUAUAUUAAAGUUGUUGCAGUUAAAAAGCUCGUAGUCGGAUCGUUGAGCUCGGCCGAGAUGGUCUACCGGGAAGGUGUGUACUGCUCGGCCCUGCUCCUUGUGCCGCAGCGACUGACGGUAGCCUUAACUGGCCGCCGUCGGCGCUCGGCCGUUUAUCUUGAAAAAAUUAGAGUGUUCCAGACAGGCGAAUCGCCUGAAUAGAUUAGCAUGAGAUAAUCGAACAAGGCCUGUUGUCCUAGGUGGAGGGCACACAGGCAAUGAUCAAUAGGAAUUGUUGGGGGUGUUUAUAUUUUUUUGUCAGAGGUGAAAUUCUUGGAUUAAAGAAAGAUAAACGUCUGCGAAAGCGUCCAUCAAGGAUGUUUUCAUUGAUCAAGAACGAAAGUUAGGGGAUCGAAGACGAUCAGAUACCGUCGUAGUCUUAACUAUAAACGAUACCGACCGGUACUUGAAGGAUGUUUUCAAGGUGACUCCUCCAGAGACCUGUAAGAAA
rnacentral:rRNA from 1 species